rnacentral:lncRNA from 10 species
CUAGCUUGUUGUCCCAUUCCCAAACAUCAAUAAACUUUUCAGAAAUCCAGCUUACAUAAAUCCCAUGGAUUUGGCUUCCAUUUUCAAGGUAAAGGGACACAUCACAGUUUUGACUACAGCAGAAUUAAGGAUUCAGAGAAACGUAAGUAUAUGUUUUGUUUUGACUUUUCUCAGGUUCUUAAUAUUUUGGUUGCUCUUGUAAAAACCCAACUUUGGGGCUUGUGUGAAAGGAAAAUAAAUCUUGGGACCCCAUAAUCACUAAACCAAAGGGGACAGUCAAGCUGGGAACUGCAUCAGGCAAACCUGCCUCCCAUUCUAUUCCUAAAAAAGAUAGCUACUAAGAUUAAAAAGCUACCUACCUCCCUCACAAGGAAAUUCCUUGUGGACAAAUGACAGAACUCGGAGCCACCCAUCUGCUCACUGAGAUAGAUGCAUCUCUGACUGCCUCCUUUGGAAAGGCCAAUCAGAAACUCAAAAGAAUGCAACUGUUUGUCUCUUAUCUACCUAUUAACUGAAAGCCCCUGCCCUGCUUCAAGUUGUCUGGCCUGUCUGGACCAAACCAAUGUACAUCUUACAUAUAUUGAUUGAUGUCCCAUGUCUCCCUAAAAUGUAUAAAACUAAGCUGUACCCCAAC